UUAUAAGGGACUUAUUGAGCAAGGAGAGACACAAGCAAGCUUUUUUUAAGAGCCGAAUAAGUUAUCUUCUCGACCAUGGCCCCACGACGUUGCCUUUUACUGAUGGAACAACUCUGGUUAUUUUUGCAAGGCGUGGUGAAGUGAUGAGGAAAUAUAAUAAUGUAUGAUUUGUUGUGAUGACCAUAAAAAUAAAGAUACCUGAGACAGUUCAAUUAUAGGUAAGAUAUGUGCCAUGCUUAAUGAAGAAGCAUGACAGUUUCAUGGGGUCUGUUGCAAGACAUAGGAAAAGAAUUUAAGUCAAUGUCAAUCUAAGAUGACGUCAGAAACCAAAGAUGAAGCAUUUACAUAUAUAACUUUGACUUUCUGAAAUAUAAGAAUAAUCAUCCAUGUUUUUCUUUUAGUUUGGAAAUUAGUACGAUGAUCAUUGAUUAGGGAUGCAUACAUGCAUGUAAUUUCAGCUUUGGAAGUUAGAUUCAACAAUUAUGUGACAUGUCUUGCAGUGUGUACUACGCCACUUAAGAAGAGCAUAGAUUUCAUCCGGUGCCUUUAGCAGGGUUA